GUAACCCGUGGAGGAGGCUUUAGUACCGGGUCAUAACACCACCCGGUACUAAAAGUGACUCUUCAGUACCGGGUCAUAACACCACCCGGUACUAGUAUCGGAUGGUGUAAUGACCCGAUACUAAAAGGCCUCUAGGGACCCUCAAAUUUGAACCCGGUACUAAUGCUAAUAUUAGUACCGGGUCAAAGUGCAGCCAGAACUAAAGCAUGGGAUGAAAGGUCAUAUUUCUAGUAGUGUAUAGUUGUUGUGAAGGACUUACUUGGCUGUCCUCUCUCUUCUCCAUCCCCUUGGUCUUACGCCGCCGCUCGCACGCGAGCUGGUGCCCAACCAGAGGAGUGAGAGCUAGGGGCAGGUUGGGAGGUGGGGAUAGCGACUGGUGGCCAGGGUGAUGGUUGAUCCUGGCGGGGUUAGGGUUUUAGGGUUUUCGAGCUUCCUAUGGUCGGCGAACCUAGAGGAGGAGCUCAACAUCAGCUGCAACCCGCGAUGGUGGUGGUUUGGCCAGCGCCCGAGGCGAGGCAGCGCGGGAGUGCUGCCGGUGGGUUGGUGUUGGCACUCAUUAUUGACAACUAUUUUGUUCAUAAAAUAACACUCAAACUUGCUGCUGCUGCCGCCGCCAUCGCCACCCUAGCCAUAAUAUAAAGGCAAAAUUUGCUAAAGGACAUGCAAAAUGAUGCUAGUUUGCUGGCGGGCAUCGUUGACCUUGUAAUAUGCUACAAGACACUCUAGUUGUGUAUCAAUUUGCUGAAAGACAUUGCUAUGACUAAAAUAAUGUUUCUGGACUGAGUUGGAGAGAGAGAUGGAGUGAAAUGUCUGUUUUGCCCAUGACCCCACUGGUCAGAUCCUUCUUCUUCCACCCUCCUUUGUUCUUUCUUCAACCAUUACCCAGCUCCAGCGUGUUGCAGAUCUACGAGGGUGGCGGCCUGGGGCGAGGGGCAUUGCUCGCCCUCGGAGGAGCGCUGCGAGCGACGGCGCGGGGGCGGCAACCGCGCGUCAGAACCUGACUGUUCGUUAGCUCCUCUCGCUGCUGGGGAAGAAGGAGGGGGAUGGGCCAUGGACGGGGUUCCCUUGAAAACCUCAGCGUCGAGCUCGGGCGGCUACGCGCAGGCAGCACUAGGCUGCUUCACGGGGAGGGGGCGCGGCCAAUCAUUGGCACCCCACUGGUCCAAUGCUGAUGAAGAUGGUGCCAGCGUCGUGUGAGGACAUCUCAUCUCCUCGAGUUCCAUGGCCAGCACAGGUCUUCAAGAUCAUUUUCAUGAGAGCUGAACAUCAGGAAAAGUCCGCCACAAAUGUUUUUCUUGGAGCCUCUAACUCUCAUGAAAAUCAUGCGGGCCGCCACGAAAAACAGCAUGACCAAAUGACAAAUUUUAUUUUCAUGUGUUCAUACCGUGAAAAUGGUCAUUUUCAUGAGAGUUGAUGAAACAAAAAAUAGUGCCAUUUUCAUGAGAGUUCAAGCAACCAGGAAAAGACACUAAUAAACAUCCAGAUCCCAUCCAGCACACAUCCAUGCACACAUAUAACCCACAUAUUGCUCCAGCACACAUCCAUGCAUAUACAAGAUCCAAAUGUUAAUAUAGUAGACAUCCAUGCCUGAACUAGUCUGCCACACAAGUCAUUGAUGCUACAAAUCCUACAAUCGCAGCAUGUGCAUACAAGUCACAGAAUGAGACAAUGUACCCAAAACUAAAAGGUUAGCAUCAACUGUGCUUCAACCAAAGUUGUCAUCCCAACUCUCCUCUUCAUCCAUGCCAUUCUUGUCAUGGCCGUCACUGUCAGUCCCCAUGGCAUUGCCAAUGCUGUGCAUGUCUUGGUAGGAACCUACAUGUGAUGAACCAGUAACCUGCAAAAAGAACUCAAAGGAUCUUGUUCUCAUAUUGUUCUCAUAUUGUAGCUGUGAAAUUCUUACAAGUAGUGUUGCAAUCAGUUCACUUUGAACCAAAAGAGCUCAAAGGAUCUUGUCCUAAAAGUUCCUCAUAAAGCUUAUGGGUUUGCUGGUGGAACUGGAAGGGCUUGAUGCAGCAGAUGCCAUUCUGCAAUAGAGAAAAAUUUAGAGAGCAGUAAUAGUUAAAAUUGGAUGCAGCAGAUACACAUGAAACUAGUAUUUAUACAAGUCUAUACAAUUAAAAUCUAAGGAGACUUAUCAUCGUUUUCAUGUGUUGCGAAUUAAAAUAAUGAAGGAUACACUGUUAGGUGAAAAUUCAAGAAACAAAAUUUUGCAUAGAGAUAAAGGUCCAACAUUAUUACAAGUUAAGGUAGUUUUAAAUAUCCUUGUAAUCUUCCUUUGGUUUCCUCAACGAUUCGAAGACAAUAACCUUGCUUCUAUCAAUGAUAAUUAUAAGGAGAAUCCAGUGGAAACUGUGUAUUCAUAUUAGAACUACCUAAGGUUAAUUAGGUUAGGAAAGGAAAUCGAAAAUAGAUGGUACCCACACUUACUUAAAGUUGUCGGGCAAUAGUAUGUAAUGCUUGUAAUUCCGUUGCUCCAAGAAUUUGUAUAUGUGGUCCAAUGUAGACUUUGGUUGAUCCCGUA